UAAGAGGUGGCAAGCGUUGUUCGGAUUUACUGGGCGUAAAAAGUGCGUAGGCGGCCAAGUAUGUCGGAUGUGAAAUCUCACCGCUCAACGGUGAAACUGCAUUCGAAACUGCGUGGCUUGAGUGCGGAAGAGGAGAGUGGAAUUCUUGGUGUAGCGGUGAAAUGCGUUGAUAUCAAGAAGAACACCGGUGGCGAAGGCGACUCUCUGGUACGCUACUGACGCUGAGGCACGAAAGCGUGGGGAGCAAACAGGAUUAGAUACCCUGGUAGUCCACGCUGUAAACGGUGUGCACUUGGUAUGGGGGGUGUUGACUCCCUCCGUGCCGGAGCUAACGCAUUAAGUGCACUGCCUGGGGAGUACGGUCGCAAGGUUGAAACUCAAAGAAAUUGACGGGGGCCCGCACAAGCGGAGGAGCAUGUGGCUUAAUUCGAUGCAACGCGAAGAACCUUACCAGGGCUUGACAUGUAACUGCAAAUCCACCGAAAGGUGGACGCUUUCGAAGGUGUUACACAGGUGCUGCAUGGCUGUCGUCAGUUCGUGCCGUGAGGUGUUGGGUUAAGUCCCGCAACGAACGCAACCCUUGUGUCUAGUUGCCACCGCCGGUGAUGAGCCGGUGAGCACUCUAGACAGACUGCCCGUACAAGCGGGAGGAAGGCGGGGAUGACGUCAAGUCAGUAUGGCCCUUACGCCCUGGGCUGCACACGUGCUACAAUGGCAGAUAACAGUGGGAUGCAAAACCGCGAGGUGGCGCAAAUCCUCAAAGUUUGCCACAGUUCGGAUUGGAGUCUGCAACUCGACUCCAUGAAGUCGGAUUCGCUAGUAAUGGCGCAUCAGCUACGGCGCCGUGAAUACGUUCCCGGGCCU
rnacentral:rRNA from 1 species